UGCGUCAUCUAUAACUGAUUACAAUUUGAAAAUUCUAGAGUAUUUAUAAGAAAAUAAAUUUCAUUAAACAGAAAGAUAAAUUAGAUAUUUUAAACGUAGAUGUCCAAAUUAUAAAAAACCGUCAAGACACAGUCCAUUAUUACUUGAUACUAUACGUGCAAUUAUAGUUGGUCCUAGUGAUUCAGUGCUGAUCAAGUUAUAAAACCAAACUUAACUAAGAAAAAUUCUAUUAUAUUAUUUGAUGACGUGAUUUGUGAUCCGCAAUCUGUAAUCAAAGAAUACUUAUCAAUUUGUAGAUAUUCAGGUGCUAGUUCUGUAUUUUAUUUAGCACAAACAUAUUCCAAAAUACCAAAACAGUUAGUAAGAGAUAACUCAAACUUUUUAAUAAUUCUUAAACAAGAUGAUAAGAAUUUACGUCAUUUAUUUAAUGACCAUUCAUCAGCAGAUAUGGAUUUUUCAGAAUUUCGGAAAAUUUCUAAUUUAUGUUGGAGUCAUAAUGAUUACUGAUUUAUGGUUAUCGAUAAAACACGUGAAAUGACCAAAAGAAGAGAAGAACAGAAAAAAAUGGAAAUAAGAGUGUUGAAUAAAAAUAUUCAAGAAUUAUAUAAACAAAAAUAUUUCAGAAAAGCUAUUGUAACAAUUUAAAAUUCCAACGAAGGUAAUUAUAUAUAGAGGUAAAGAUUAAGCGAAAAUGUUUGUGGAAAAUAUCAUUGAUAUUGGAAGAAAGAUAAAUAAUAUUUAUGAAACUAAUAUACCAAUGAUUCCAUUAACUGAAAAAGAAGAAAAACCACAUCAGAAAACAAAGGUUUGUGAAAAAUGUUCCUUAUCUUUUAAAAAAAAUGGCUUGAGGGGGAUAUUCCCCCUUAAACUUUAAAAAUCUCCCUGCUCAAAAGUGCGCCGAACAUACAUUGUGGUUUUUUAAAUCAGUAUUUUUUCGUAUUGCAGGGAAAAAAAUGGCUUGAGGGGAAUAUUCUCCCUUAAACUUUAAAAAUCUCUG